CCUACGGGGGGCAGCAGUCGAGAAUCAUUCACAAUGGGGGAAACCCUGAUGCUGCGACGCCGCGUGGGGGAAUGAAGGUCUUCGGAUUGUAAACUCCUGUCAUGUGGGAGCAAAUUAAAAAGAUAGUACCACAAGAGGAAGAGACGGCUAACUCUGUGCCAGCAGACGCGGUAAUACAGAGGUCUCAAGCGUUGUUCGGAAUCACUGGGCGUAAAGCGUGCGUAGGCUGUUUCGUAAGUCGUGUGUGAAAGGCGCGGGCUCAACCCGCGGACGGCACAUGAUACUGCGAGACUAGAGUGAUGGAGGGGGAACCGGAAUUCGCGGUGUAGCAGUGAAAUGCGUAGAUAUCGAGAGGAACACUCGUGGCGAAGGCGGGUUCCUGGACAUUAACUGACGCUGAGGCACGAAGGCCAGGGGAGCGAAAGGGAUUAGAUACCCGAGUAGUC
rnacentral:rRNA from 1 species